AAGCAGUAAGCCAAGACGUUUGGACUGUCAGAGACAGAAAGGACCCCAGGGAGCCUUCGUGGUUCUGCGUAGGGGAACUGUUGGCAUUUUAAGUGGAAAGGUUCUUAAUGGGGGAGGAUGAGCUUUGCAGGAAGUUUACCAUCCUUGCCCCCUCCCUGGGAUCUCUCAUUAUAAUAAGCAAAAACCUCCUCUCCUCCCACCUCAUUUCUAACCCUUGUCCCCUAGGGUGUCCUGGCUGCUGCUGAGAAGCGACUGGCAAGGGGACCGAGGCCCAGCAUUGGGAAGCAGUUGGUAGAAGUUCACGCCAGCCUUUAAAACGCCUUGGACUGCAAAGUUCCAGUGGAUGCAAGUAGAACAGAUGCGACAGCACUCGUCCGAAACCCCACACGGCCGUCCCGCGCAUCAGUGCAUCAGGAUUGAUGUGACGAUAACGACAUGCUUGUAUUAAAGGCAGUUCACCAUGAACAAAUCGCUCUCACUAUGUCUUCUAAGUUGAUCCUACGACUCCUUGAGAGAGAGGCAGUGAAAGCAUUUUUACCCUCCUGGACGAAUGAGCAAACUACGGCUCCUGAAAGGCUUGCCCAGGCCGCAAGGCUACGGGGCGGCUGAGCUGAGGC